AUCGCUUCUCGGCCUUUUGGCUAAGAUCAAGUGUAAAAUUUUGGUAUAAUUCCCCUGGGAAGUCACCUGGUCCUGAACUCUUGUUUGAUGGGAGAUUUUUGAUAACUGAUUCCGUUUCUUUACUGCUUACGGUCUCUUCAGAUUUUCUAUUUCUUCUUGUUUCAGUUUUCAGUAGUUCAUAGGUUUCUAU